CUUAAAAUAACAAAAAAGGAAGUAAGUGGAUUGACUCACAGCCCCAUGUUUUCCCACAAACUGGGGGAUGUUUUUAGUUUAUAGGAGCAAGUAAAUAAAACCCAAAUUAAAAUAAUAGCUGGACUCAAUGGUAUAAAUCCACAUAGCAGUAUUAACUUAAAUACUGCUAUUUCUAGGCCAGGUAGUACUUGGUAGAGAUAAUAUCUCAUUAACACUGAUACACUAACAAAAUUUACAUUGGUGGUCACAGAAUAUGAACACCUGCACACGUGUAGGACUUACAAACCAGUCAUUAACAGAUGAGAUUCCCAGGGAAAAGAGACUCUAUAUAAUCUGAAGAGCUCUCAAAAAAUGCCUUUGAAAAUCAGAUUAAUAAAAUCAAACCCUACCACUCCACCUGUUCAUGGCCCAGCCACAAAAUUCUUCUUGUCUGUGCUGGGAUCAGUUCUGACUACAGCCAGCCACUGGACCUCUGCCAGCCAUAGCAGAAGCACAGGUCUUCCAGCAGAACAGGCAUCACAGCCACUUCUGUGCUUUUCCCUUUCUUGUCCCCAGACUCCCCCUCACCCCCCUCCCAACAGCUCCUCUGGAUGGGCCAGAGGACAUGGCCAAAGGAAGGGAAGUGCAGCCAAGACUUUGCUAUGCCCCAGCAGCCCCUCUCUGCUGUUGCAGGGUCACUGGCAGCCAGAAUGAUUUAGAGCAGCCUUCAGGCUAUUCUAACUUACAGUGAGGGACUUGACUGACUCAUUGCUGCUCCAGGACUGUGGGAACAUAAAGCUACCUUAAAGCCAUUUCAGUCAUCCCUCUUCUGAGCUGUGCUAUUUUAUCCUUGCCUGUGACUGAAAAAAAACCCUGAGAGUGCAGGUUGUUUACACAUCUUGCAGCUGCAGCAAGUGGUCGUUUCCUUUGCCUUUCUUCUGCCUUUAUUUGUUGGGGGUUUUUUAUGUCUCUUUUGCCUAUAUAGACAGAUCUGGUAGUGUUCAUAGCCCUGCACUCCAUCUGAGAUGGUGAUUUAUGGCAGUCUCUGCUCUAUUGAUUGGUCUUCCAAAGCUGAGGCUCCCGUCAGCUGCAAGGCUGUGGGAAGGCAUGCUGCGCUGGAGUUUGCUGUCUGCAAGCAGGACAAGCAACAUUCUUGAGGUUCCCAUGAGUGCCAUGCCCAUCAAGAAUAAUUUUGUAAUUUCGCAUCUUAAUUUUUACAGAAUCAAAUGCUAGUGACAAACUCAAUUGAAGAGACAUCAACUGUUUCAUUUCAUUGCUUAUCAGCUUUGCUUACAUUUUAACUCUGAUGGUACUUUGGAUUAAAUUUCUGCAUCCAUAAUCUGCUUUGUUAUGCACAGAAAAUAUCAAAUUACAUUUACUCUACUAAUUCCUGUAGCACUCAUGCACUUAUAUAUACCUUCCAUAUUCUCUUUCUUUUUAUAUUUGCCAUUUCAGUUUAAUGCUCUUCAUUGCAAAUUUUCACACUUACCUCUUUGUCCUUUUCUUCUAUAAUACCUUUAUUAAAUUAAAUCUUUUUAUAAAAAAAUACUUCCAUUUUUUAAUAUUAUUGCUUCUUCUCUAUCACAAUUUAGAUUUAACAUUUCAUUGAGCAGACAGUUUUAAUUUUCCAUUUCUCCAACAGUUCUUUCAUUAGACUAUUUCUUAAGUAUUUCAUUUUAUUUUUCUCUUCUGUAAUUUGCUUUCAACCAGCCUAAUGGACUUGUCUCUUUUGUAAUUUGCUUUUAUUCCCUGUUACUGUUCUUCUGACUUCUCUUUGUUGCUUCGCGCUGACAAGUGUUCUUCCUCAUCCCUUGUGAGUGACAGUGACAGCAUUUGAGUGGUAGCUGGCAGAUUUAGGAACAGUGACGACCUCCUAAUGGAACUGAUGGACAACACUCUCUGAAACAUGAACUCUGCUCACACUGCUCAAUCUUGCUACAGGUCUCAGCUCAAAUCACCUUGACUCAAGCCCAGGGCCAGGCCACUUGCAGACCAGAAAUAUGAAAAUAUCCUUGGCCCACCAGAGACAUGCUUGCACUGGCUCUCUUCACAGUGUGCCUGCAACACCCUGUCUCAACAUCCCAUCUCCACUGUGUGAGAGCACAGCAGACACUCCCAGCCAGCCAGCUGAGCUCAGCUGCCUGAGGUUUUUGAAUUCCUGGACAGUUUCUGUGCAAUUACUUAUUUGUUCAUCUUAAACCUAAGCAAUUGUGGGUUAUAUAAAGACUCUUCUACCUAGUACCAUCUUUUGGUUCAAUUAGCACCAACAUGGAGCCCUCCGACUGCUCAAAUCUGCACCACCUCGAAGAACAACUCUCCACAACUCAUCUCAGAAGGUACAGCAAGGUUUCUGUCAUGCAAACCUGCAUUAUUUUUCUCAGAAAAUGUCUGUCUCUCUCAGCAUAGGCUGAACCUUCUGAUUCUUGCAGGUGACACCAUCUGCAGCUGUUCUAAAAAAGUUUAUGAGGCAGAAUUCCCACUGAACAGUCUUUGCUUUCUUAUGUUAUCUCCUUCAGCUAUCUCCUGAGUCAAAUCCUGUACAUAAGGCUUGUUUUCACUAAUUCAGAUCUUCAACAAUAUGCAUUUCUUCAAGCAGACAAAGAGAAUAGAUAAAAUAUUGCUACAAAGGAAAGGCGAGCUAUAGGAGGAAGGAUGAUGGGGAUUGAGCAACGUACAGUUAAAAGCAGUAAGGCUCAUGAAAAGUGUAUAGCUCAUGCUGUCAAAUGAACUUGAAAGAUUAUACAGAAAGAGAAAUUACAAAGAAAGCAUCUUAACAUGAAGUAUGAGAUAGGUGAACUGUAGGACUGUGCAAUGGAUCCAUUUCACAAGGCCACUCUAAUAAAAAGCAAGAUCCUGGUCAGAAUUACUCUGAAGUAUCUAUCCAAAACAGUUUGUACACUAUUAAAUGUGCUAGCUGGAAUUUAAAUUCAAAGCCUACAUCUCUUUCACAGUUACUAUGGAAGCGCCUACCCUCUGUAUAUUUCAGAUCUACAGUCUUAGACUUGGCCUUCUUUGCAUAUUAGAUUAUAACAAAAUGUUGUCACUUCCCAAAAAUAUCUCUAAAGACUGACCUUUCCCUCCUUUCAUACAUCAAGAAAUCUCAUCAAGUGGCUGUGUCAACUUGCCCCUCACAGCCACUGGACAUGGUUUACUAGGGGGUGCUUCUUCAUUCUGAGUACCCCUGAGGUGGGAUGUUCUGGUGGGAAGAAGGCCAUACCUUCUUUUUAGAUUUAUUCUCUCCUCUGUGUUGGGUGCAAACUUAGCUUCUCCACUAAUAUUCUUUAUGACUUUUCUGUAUUCUUGUGGAAAACAGAGUUUUCAACUAAAGCUUCAAUCUGCCAGCAGUACCAUCCCUCACUGCUCAGGUGUCCCUUUCUUGUUACACACCAGCAGUUGAGAGGAGACUGCUCCAUGCUCCCAAGGCCCAGGAUGGUGAUACCUCAGAGAACAUUGGGGAUACUCUCACUUGGGCCACUCCAUAGAUUCCAUUUUAUAAAGCUAGACAGAGCCCAACUAAGAUCAGUCUGCUGCUGAUUUCUACAUAAGGUUAUAUUUUCUCGGCUGAUAAUGGUCAAAAAUGUUAGUGACCUAUUGGCUGUCAUUAGCCAAGACAAAACUAAUUUGCAGCUUAUUUUUAUCUAACAAAUGAAUAUAUAUCCAUAAACCCACCACCACAGAAUGGAGGUGACCCUUCAUGGCAGAUGUACAGGACAACAUCCUUUAUGUGCACAUUUAAUAAGGCUCUCAUGAAAAGACCUUCCUCUGCUGAACGUGAUAGCUGUGAAUAACUGAUACCAUGCAGUUCUGUGGAGUAACAAAGGACUCUGGGGCUGUCUGCAUCAUUUGUCACAAACUUUGGACAUACAUAAACAAAAAUUAAUUUCACAUACCUAUAAUUGUAUCUGUUCACAUUACAAUUGCAUCUGUCCCUGGGUUACACAUCAAAGAAAGUGUCUUUGCUGAGGAUAGGACCAUACAAUUCUAUAAGACGUAACCUAACAUCUUUUCCAUUAUGGUGCAAACCAGACUUCAUAACAUUGAUUGUUCUAACAUUUUCAAAGACUACCAAAUGUUUUUUUAAGCAACAGACCAAGGAAAAGAGAACUUGGUUAUUCUUAUCUAGAAAAAAGCAAAAAAUUGCAAAUUGUUUGGAAACAGUAGACCUAAAAAUUCACUGGAAGUUAGUAAAAGGAAACAUAGAAGCUAUUAUAUUUCUAUAUCCCCAAUGGCUAUUUACAGGAGAAAUAUCUAAACACUUAAGAGCAUAUAUAAACCUUUAUGAAACAGGUAGCUCUUUGUAGGAGUACACAGGACAUAGUAAAGGGAGUUAGAUAACACGUUACUGAAAAUAGACCAGAGCUAAAUAUGCCGGCUCUGCUCACUUUCCAAACUUUUUUUUUUUAAAUGCUGACCAAGCUCAGCUAGGCAAGACCUGCUUAGUGCAGUCAUUUUCACAUUCGCACUGAACAUAUCAGCUCUGACAAUAUAUUUUUUUAAUCUCAACAGCAGAAAGUAAUACAUAAUUGCCUCUAACUCAGCCAAGAAAAAAAAAAAAAUCAAACUUAAGAAAUUAAAAACACAGAUGCAGUAUUAUACAAAAUUGAACCAAAUUUUACAAUGGUCUGAUGUUUCUGAUAUUUUUAUCUUAACACAUCAAGGGUGAUAGAAGCUUCUUUUUGCUGUCAAAGUGAUCAAAGAGAGGUUGAGAAGGAAUCUAUAAACAGAUGCUGCCCAGUGACAAACCUUAAAGAACAAGACUGUGGGGCCAGAUGUUUGAGUGACCUUCGGACUACAGAACAUGUUGGCAUGGUGUUGAUUUAGAUAGCUGUUGGCAGGGGCUUUCGAUCCAGCAGCUGAAAAAAAAAUCUAAAUUAUGGAAAUAUUUUUUUCUCAUCUUUCCCCUAACUAUAAAAACUGAAACUACUGGUCAGUGGGGCUGAUGCCUGUCAAAGAAGUUGAAUUCACCACACAACCCUGCCAGUAGGUAUCACAUCAAAAAGGAGUUAGCUGAAUGAACAAGAACAUCUUCAGGCUGUGCCAUUUUGCAUCCCCCUCAACUUUCAACAGCUGUUUCUUGAGUGAAUACAGAUGCAGAAUAAUUAUAUGAAAUGUUUUACAUUUUCAAUAUACUACAUCAUGUAAAUAUGUAAUCUAUGAUUACCUAUGGGUGAUAUAAUAUAAACCACCAUUAAGAAAGGGUUUGGGAUGUGGAACAGGAAAUAGAAUAAUUAAUCAAUAAUGAUGAUUUUCCUAAAUUAUGUUCUUCAUACAUGCUAUAUUUGUAGAAUUAAAAUGACAUUGCUAAAAAAUCCCCCCAAACCACAACAAAGUAACAACAACAAAUGCAGUGAUAAUUGAUCACAUACAUUUUUUGUCAAAUACUAGAAGACACUGGAAAUUAUUAUUACAUGUAACUUCAGCUGUGCUGCAAUUUUCUAGAUCUGUCUCAGCAAGCGCUUCCAUUUUUUAAUCCGAUUGAAGAAAUUAGUCAUGUACUAGGAAAUACAAAAGGAAAAGAGAAAAUCAUCAAUCCAAAAUUCCAGCACUCAAGUCUGAGCCACUGCACAUCACUAGAACAAAUGGAGAAAGCAGAAAAAGUCUUGCUUUGUAACAUUAAAUGUGAUUGAAGACUGUACAGUUCUUCUUACGCUUUUAGACGUUUUGUCACUUUACCUGGAGAAAUAUACACUGCUUAUUCUGAAUUGCUGCUGAUGUCCAGCACUUGUCAAAACCGCUAUCUGUCAAGCACUUCACAAAGUGUUGCAAAAUGACAGAUCAGGAUGUCUGAAUAGAUGGAGCCCCAGGAAAAACAGAACAGAUAGAAAAUUCAUGACUCUAAACUACAUCAAAGCGACUUCUGUCAACAUCAUGUCAAAAGAAGGAAAAAAAGAACUGUUCAUUUUAGAGGGUUUUUUUCAUUAUAUAAACACUUUUUUCACGUAUGAGCUAAGUGUAAGGAAAAAUUAACUUGGUGUACAGUAUGAUCAUUUGAAUGUGCCAAAAAUACUCUUUAAAUAAUCCAGGAAUAAGGAAACUUCUAACAGUAGAUACUGUCUGGCAGUUAAAACCAAUGACAUCCAAAAGAAAUGUAUGAAGAAUCUAUCAGCUUAAAAUAGGACAAACCAUCUGGCUCCAAAGAAAUAAAAGUAUUCUGCUAUGCAUGUUUGUUGGGUUCACAGAAUCCUACAACUGGAUUAAUUUUGUAUUUCCUCUCCAAUCACUUGUGAUCAUCUCUACUUAGUCUGUCAAUUGUACAACCCCAAUUCACUGUUAUAUUGCAGGCAGCAGAUUUAGCAAUAUCAAGACAAUACUGUAAUUUAAAAAAGGAGCACCAUCAGCAUAAUCAGAUCUCUCAUUAUAGAAAAAUAUUUUAAAUCAUUCCUCAAAGGUUCCAGAAAAUAAGCAGGUUAUGAUACAUGACUAUAUACAUUUAAAUUAUGCAUAAUCAAAUUUUGAGAAUCACACGCAGAAUAUUAGGAGUACUGCAGAGCUAGAGAUGCUUUCUGUCUCACAUACCUUUCACCAUAGGCCCUUGCCAUCAGUACUAACUUCAGUGAAGGUUACUAACUAUUGACCUCGAGAAAUCAAGAGGCUAAAUGACCCUGUACAAUAGGCUCGGUGGCUUUUAGAGCACUGGGAAAUACAAAGAACAUACACUCAUCAACUUGAGAAAUGGAAAGUGGUGCUUCGUGCAUGAUCAAGUGAGCAUUAGCAAAGUACAGAACUUGCAGCAAGUUUGGAAAUCUGCAUUGUCCUCCUUUACUGUCUCAGUUUCAUCUUUGCUUGCAAGUUUGGUUUGUGGAAACGCAUGGAAUGGGAUGGAUUGGAAGGGACGUUUCAAAGGCUGUCUGGUCCAAGCCUCCAUCCCAGGCAGGGACAUCAUUCUUCCAUCCACUUUUUCAAAGGACCUAUAAAGCUACUGCUGGCUCUGACAUGAGUGACAGCUGAUCCAGAAAUUGAAACUUGCUCAUUGACACAAAUAUGCUCCAAUUUUCCUUGGAGAAGAUGCCCUUUAACCACUGGCCAGCGAAGUUUUGCUAGCUUCAAAACAUUUGCAAGAUAUAAAUGAGCAUGAAGAGGAAUAGCACCUUCUGGUUCAGGAAGGUGCUUUAGGACAUCUUGUUGAAUGUGUACAUGGCUGGGAAUUGCGAUCUAUUAACACUGGAGUACAGUGGAAAGCACGUCUGCUGCUUACUGUAUGCAGAACUCAAUACAUCUUGCUUCCUACUUACAAAAAGAUGUUUAUUACCUGUAACUGUACAGAGGUGUGUGCUUCACAGCAGCAGUGAUUGGUAAUAAGCCUCCUUUUCUCAUUUACAUUGAUAGCAAGCAUUAGUGAAGAUAUAUGCAUUUCAUUUCAUGGUUCAGAAAGAACAAAGUAUAUGUAUAUGUGAUAGCAGUGGGUGGUUAAUGAAAUGGUCUGACAAACAUAAGCUAAUACAUAAUCAUACCAGAAUGUGGACUGCAACACCUGUUCCUGCUUCACAGGCUUACAAUUCUUAAAGAAAAGUUACUAUUUUCAAGAACUGAAAUCACUACUAUUUAGACAUCAAUAUGCUCCGAGGAAAUUUUAGUCAUUUUUUUGCAAACACUAAAGGGGGGAAUUUUAAUGAUAUCAAAUCUCUUUUGCUUGUGUCCUAAGAGUAAUGAAAACUUCACACAUGCAUGAAGCUCCAGUAAUUAUUUUAAACUGCCUUCUGUUGUCCCCCUGAGGAACACGGUGGUAUUUGUUUGAUGCAGUUUAAUUAGUGUCAGGGUAAUUAAUGCUAUGCUAUCUACAUGAGAUCAAACCCCUUUCUUUGUAACACUCUGGUAACUAAGAACUAAGAAAAGGAAGUGGUUUGAAAAUGUGGAAGUUUGGUAGGCUAGAUUCAGAAACAAAUCAAAUUGCUCAAAUCUGCAUUUAUGUACCCAAAAUAUUAAACACAUCCAGCCAAGUCAGAACUUACAAGUGUGAGAGUAGGAUCAUAAUGCAUUAGAAUGGUGCUGUAAGACAGGAGACCCACUGCUACCCAUGUAAGUGAAAUGCUUUUUCUAUGGAUGUAAUCAAAUUAAGUGAAACAUUCAUGGACACCAUGCACCUUGUAAGGAGUUUAAAUCCUUUAAUAAUGAAAUUAUAUACUUUUGCACAACCAGAUCACCAUAGUUAUUUAUAAGCAGCAUGUGGUGCUACCAUGUGCUGAUAUAUUUUCCUAAAUAAAAGCAUCAUUUGAGUUUAA